UACGUAGGGCGCAAGCGUUGUCCGGAAUUAUUGGGCGUAAAGGGCUCGUAGGCGGCCAACUAAGUCGGAUGUGAAAUCCCCAGGCUCAACUUGGGAACUGCAUCCGAUACUGGAUGGCUUGAAUUCGGGAGAGGGAUGCAGAAUUCCGGGUGUAGCGGUGGAAUGCGUAGAGAUCCGGAAGAACACCGGUGGCGAAGGCGGCCUCCUGGGCCAGCACUGACGCUCAUGCACGAAAGCGUGGGGAGCAAACAGG
rnacentral:rRNA from 1 species